AGCGAACGUUUGCGGCGGGCUUAACACAUGCAAGUCGAACGAGAAUCCCUUCGGGGAGGAAAGUGGCGCACGGAUGCGUAACACGUGGAUAACCAACCCAUUGGUUUGGGACAACACCGGGAAACUGGUGCUAAUACCAGAUGUGUCGCAGCUGUCUUCAGGCGGUUGCGAGAAAGGCCCGCAAGGGUCGCCAACGGACGGGUCCGCGUCCCAUCAGCUAGUUGGUGAGGUAAUGGCUCACCAAGGCAAAGACGGGUAGCUGGUCUGAGAGGAUGAUCAGCCACACUGGAACUGAGACACGGUCCAGACUCCUACGGGAGGCAGCAGUGGGGAAUAUUGCGCAAUGGGCGAAAGCCUGACGCAGCCACGCCGCGUGAGCGAUGAAGGUCUUCGGAUCGUAAAGCUCUGUGGGGGGAGAAGAAGAAAGCCGGUGAAGAGCCGGCCCUGACGGUAUCCCCUUAGCAAGCACCGGCUAACUCCGUGCCAG
rnacentral:rRNA from 1 species